rnacentral:rRNA from 1 species
GAUCAAGCGUCAAAAGGGCAUCCGGGGGAUGUCUUGGCGGUAAGAGGCGAUGAAAGACGUGGCACUCUGCGAUAAGCACCGGGGAGGCGAGAGCACCCUUUGAUCCGGUGAUUUCUGAAUGGGGAAACCCACCUCCGAGAUGUUGGAUAAAUCUUCCGUUCGCGGACGAUGUAUCUAACAUUUCGAUAGAGAGGUAUUUUAACCUGAAUACAUAGGGUUAAAAAGCGAACCCGGGGAAUUGAAACAUCUAAGUACCCGGAGGAAAGGACAUCAAUUGAGACUCCGUUAGUAGUGGCGAGCGAACGCGGACCAGGCCUGGUCUGAAAUAAGGAGAAGUAUCUGGGAAGGUACGCCAUAGUGGGUGAGAGCCCCGUAUCCGUGUAAUGAAGACCUUUUCGAGUAGGGCGGGACACGUGAAAUCCUGUCUGAAUAUGGGGGGACCAUC